AGCAUUUGAAAAAAAAAUCUACCUCAUCACUGGUCUGCUCCAACACUGGCAAUCUUAAACACUCAGAAGAGUCCCUGAUGACCUGGCUUUCUCAUUGUGGCUUCAGUGCAAUAGAAGAAUGUACUCUCUUGUGAAUCACUGGCCAUGGGACCUCACUCCUUAGAGACAUCUGUCCACUGAGACCUCACUUUACUGUUGCAGUGACUAAGUAGGAAAUAGGAACCUCAAGGAAAGUGAUGCUGCAGUCAACAACUCCUCAGAGCCAUGGUGCAGCCCCAGCCCCUGCUCCCAUGACACAGCCCUGCACCUGAGCAGCACGCAGAUCUCAGGACCAUGCUUCUACAGCCAAAAACCUUUUCAUGGUGCCAGGACACUGAGCUUUUACACUAUCCAGCUGCCAUGGAGAUUUGGCCAGCUGAUUUAUUGCAAUCAGUUAUUAGUGCUGUACAUUGGUACUUUGAACAUGCACCCUAACCAGGAUGUCUUUCAGCUUGUUCAAAAGCUAAGUAAAAUGGUUUUUUUUUUCCUUCA